CAUAGGGCCUGGUCAAACGAAGUGCACUAAAUAUAGGGAAUAGGAUGCCAUUUCAAAUGCAAACCAGUAUUUUUAAAUAAGUAUUUAUGGUUUUCGUUUUGUUGUCUUUUGUUUUGAACUGUGAGUAAUUUGUAUACAGUGUAUUUGGGAAAAUAUUCAGACCCCUUCACUUUUUACAGUUUGUUACGUUACAUUCAUUCUUAUUCUAAAAUGUAUUCCAUUGUUUUUUCCCCCUCCAUCAAUUUACACACAAUACCCCAUAAUGACAUCACAAUACCCCAUAAUGACAUCACAAUAACCCAUAAUGACAAAGAAAAAACAGGUUUUUCGAAAUGUUUGCAAAAAUAUUAUUUAAAUUUUUUUUAAAUACCAAAAUAUUUCAUUUACAUAAGUAUUCAGACCCUUUACUCAGUACUUUGUUGAAGCACCUUUUUUAUUUUUUUUAUUUUUUUAACCUUUAUUUAACUACACAAGUCAGUUAAGAAUAAAUUCUUAUUUUCAAUGACAGCCUAGGAACAGUGGGUUAACUGCCUGUUCAGGGGCAGAACGACAGAUUUGUACCUUGUCAGCUCGGGGGUUUGAACUUGCAACCUUCCAACGCUCUAACCACUAGGCUACCCUGCCGCCCCAGUGAUUACAGCCUCGAGUCUUCUUGGUUAUGACACUACAAGCUUGGCACACCUGUAUUUGGGGAGUUUCUCCCAUUCUUCUCAGCAGAUCCUCUCAAGCUCUGUCAGGCUGGAUGGGGAUCGUUGCGGCACAGCUAUUUUCAGGUCUCUCCAGAGGUGUUCUCUCGGGUUUAAGUCCAAGUUCUGGCUGGGCCACUCAAGGACAUUCAGAGACUUGUCCCCUAAGCCACUCCUGCGUUGUCUUGGCUGUGUGCUUAGGGUCAUUGUCCCAUUGGAAGGUGAACCUUCGCCCCAGUCUGAGGUCCUGAUCGCUCUGGAGCAGGUUUUCAUCAAGGAUCUCUGCCUCUGAAAAACGACCAACAGCAUGAUGCUGCCACCACCAUGCUUCACCGUAGGGAUGGUGCCAGGUUUUCUCCAGAUGUGAAGCUUGGCAUUCAGGCCAAAGAGUUCAAUCUUGGUUACAUCAGACCAUAGAAUCUUAUUUUUCAUGGUCUGCGUCCUUUAGGUGCCUUUUGAAAAACUCCAAGCGGGCUGUUAUGUGCCUUUUACUGAGGAGUGGCUUCUGUCUGGCCAUUCUACCAUAAAGGCCUGAUUGGUGGAGUGCUGCAGAGAAAGUUGUCCUUCUGGAAGGUUCUCCCAUCUCCACAGAGAAACUCUGGAGCUCUGUCGGAGCGACCAUCGGGUUCUUGGUCACCUCCCUGACCAAGGCCCUUCUCCCCUGAUUUCUCAGUUUGGCCGGGCAGCCAGCUCUAGGAAGAGUCUUGGUGGUUCCAAACUUCUUCCAUUUAAGAAUGAUGGGAGGCCACUGUGUUCUUGGGGACCUUGGAUGCGCAGACAUUUUUUGGUAUGCUUCCCCAGAUCCUGUGCCUCGACACAAUCCUGUAUCGGAGCUCUACAGAAAAUUCCUUAUACCUAAUGGCUUGGUUUUUGCUCUGACUCGCACUUUGAACUGUGGGACCUUAUAUAGACAGGUGUGUGCCUUUCCAAAACAUGUCCAAUCAAUUGAAUUUACCACAGGUUGGACUCCAAUCAAGUUGUAGAAACAUCUCAAGGAUGAUCAAUGGAAACAGGAUGCACCUGAGCUCAAUUCCGAGUCUCAUAGCAAAGGGUCUUAAUACUUAUGUAAAUAACAUAUUUCUGUUUUUUUUAUUUUAUAAAUUUGCACAAAAAAAACAACCCUGUUUCCACUUUGUCAUUAUAAGGUAUUGUGUGUAGAUUGAUGAGAACAUUUUUUUAUUUAAUCCAUUUUAGAAUAAGGCUGUAAUGUAAUGUGGAAAAGGUCAAGGGGUCUGACUACUUUCCGAAUGCUCUGUAUAUCUGUUUAUUUAUUACUGUUUGUUGGGGAAAAAACUUCUGGACUCUUGGCCAUUUGUCCAGUGAAAAGUGCCAGCCUAAUCCUUCCUACUGACAUGCUGCUUUAUAGCACUGUUAGCCUAACCUCUCCUACUGACAUGCUGCUUUAUAGCACUGUUAGCCUAACCCUCUCCUACUAACAUGCUGCUUUAUAGCACUGUUAGCCUAACCCUCUCCUACUAACAUGCUGCUUUAUAGCACUGUUAGCCUAACCCUCUCCUACUAACAUGCUGCUUUAUAGCACUGUUAGCCUAACCCUCUCCUACUGACACACUGCUUUAUAGCACUGUUAGCCUAACCCUCUCCUACUGACAUGCUGCUUUAUAGCACUGUUAGCCUAACCCUCUCCUACUGACACACUGCUUUAUAGCACUGUUAGCCUAACCCUCUCCUACUGACAUGCUGCUUUAUAGCACUGUUUUUUGUUGUUACCGGAUUCACAGUACCACUUAAUUUCACCUUCCAAUGAGAUCAAAAAUGAGUGCAUUUCAAGUAUUAGAUGGUAUUUUAAAGCAGUCCCGUGAGACAAUGGGCUGCAUCUGAAAAUGAAUGGAUGCAUAUUUUGCCUACAUAGUACACUGCUUUUGUUCCAGGGCCCGCCUUUUGGCCAGGGCCCGCCUUUUGGCCAGGGCCCGCCUUUUGGCCAGGACCCGCGUAGGCAUUUCAGUGGCAGACUUGUUGAAAGGGAUAAGAUUUCUCAAGGUUUGAUGAAUACCACAAAGUUAAACCUUAUCUUACAUUUUAAUUGUCUACUCAUUCAACAAUGCAAUAUGUUCUGAAAUCACCUAAUACAUCACUUAAUACACUCUGACACACACAAUCACACGUAUCACACACUAUCACACAAUCAAAAAUGAACUUCACCAAAAAAUGUUUUCUGUGAGAUGUUGUAUCCUGUUUUAGAAGAGUGUGUUUCAAAAGUGAAUCCAAACCGAAAAAUACAAUAUUGGACAUAUUAGGCAACUUAAUGACAUGCGCAUUACAUUGCCUUGCCAUAUCCAAACACUAAAUGGGUAGCAACCAUCCGGGAGCUACCAGGUGCUGAAUUUAAGACAUUAUCUUUAUCAUACAUUAUCAUUAUACCAAAUCAAUUGUACUGGUUCAUAUCUGAACAGCGUUAUCCCACAGUGAAAUCUUAAAUCUCAAAGCCUAUGCUACUUGUACCGUUCAAUAUGUGGAAAUGGGAGGAAGAUUAGAUGAUUUGCUAGUGCUGGUAGUCUAUCUGGGGAAGAAACAAUAUGUCACUCCUAGGAAGGGAAGCAACAACAAACUUGACUGCCUUAUUUCUUAUUGAUAAGUCCAAGGCCUUACACCAUCUUUACAGACAGACUGUAUAUAAUAGUAUAGUAGUACAUAGAAUCUGCACAUUCUAGAAGCGAUUCUAGAACCAAACAGAUUCUGGAUCUAGAACCAGAGCUUCACUGUUCAUAUCAAGGCAGCUGUUUAAACUCUGAUCAUGUUUUCAAUACUAUUUCUUAUGGUUCCUUUGUUUAUUUGCAGGGUCACUUAAUGCAUCCAUACUGUAUAAAACAACCCACAUUGAGUGUGCCCUUACUCAGUAUCAGUUGUAGAUGGACAGUAGUGUCGGAACAGGCAGACACACCUUUUAGUGGCCAUGGUGUGUUUCUCACAGGCUUGAAAAAAAUAUUGUCAACGUCCCAAAUAUCACCUUAUUCCCUUUAUAGUGCACUACUUUUGAUCAGGGCCCUGGUCCAAAAGUAGUGCACUACAUAGGGAAUAGGGUGCCAUUUAGCUAUGGGCCAUGGUCUAAAGUAGUGCACUACAUAGGGAAUAGGGUGCCAUUUGGGACGCAUGGUUAUAUAAAUGGUAUGGCGAUGGCUAAAUAUGUCAUUGAAGGCAACAGAGGCUGCGAAGAUAGUUGCAUAGAUUUGGUUUCUGGAGUUUGAUGAUGUCAACUUAAGAUCUAGAUACAAAACGAAUCGUGAUUGUCUUUCCCGGAGAUCCGGCCUUAUUUCCAUACCAAAGAAAAGCAGUUGUUUAAAAAUAACCGAAUUUUACGUUAGAAGUUGUAAUAUCGUAGGAGGUUGUUAUACAUGGGAUUUGUAAUCAUCCAUGCACUCCUAGAGACUUAUGUUAUCAGUGAAAAGAAACAGAUAUAACUUGUUGUACGUCCUUAAUGGCACUCUAUAUAGUGCACUUGAUUUUGACCAGGACACAUAGGACCUUGGUCUAAAGUAGUGCACUAUUUAGAGAAUAGGGUGCCAUUUGGAACACACUGUAUAAGUUUUGUUUCAUUUUGGAGGAGAGAAAAGAAAAGAGGAGAAGCUUCGAAAAUCCAUGUACAGCAUGUUGCUAAGGAAACACUGGGCCAGACAGCAUGUAAACGUAUAUGAAAUGGUGGAGGUCCUUGUUGUAACGUAUAUGAAAUGGCGAAGGUCCUUGUUGUUGCUUAGGAAACACUGGGCCAGAGAGCAUGUAAACGUAUAUGAAAUGGUGGAGGUCCUUGUUGUAACGUAUAUGAAAUGGCAAAGGUCCUUGUUGUUGCUUAGGAAACACUGGGCCAGACAGCAUGUAAACGUAUAUGAAAUGGCGGAGGUCCUUGUUGUUGCUAAGGAAACACUGGGCCAGACAGCAUGUAACGUAUAUGAAAUGGCGGAGGUCCUUGUUGUUUGCUUAGGCAAAACUGGGCCAGACAGCAUGUUGUUGAAACCAUCACUGCUAGCCAGCCAGCUAUGUGAUUAUAAUAGGAUGAUUUGCUUGAAUUUUGGCUAUUGUUAUUGUGGUAAAAGUCAUAGUCAAAAUUAAAGCUCCAUUAACUUGUAAAUAGGGUAGAUACAUAGAAAUGUAAGGCAUCAAGAAGAAAAAAAAGACUACUAUAUUAUGGCCAUCAUUCUAGCUAAGUAAGUCUAUGUGCCAUAUAAAGGAGAAGAAAAAAAGCUAAAUGUAUAUUAGUCAAGAUAAUAGAGACUGUGUGUUGUGUGUUGCAUUUCCGGCUCCUCAAUGUAUUUGUAAAAAGUAAUGCUGUCUGUUUGGUCUCUGGUUUGCUGAUGUGUUUUGACUUUCCUUUCAAAGGUAAUUAUUAUAAUAAUAAUGAUAAUAAUAGGUCUCUGAUGUGUGCUCUGAGCGAGAACAAUAGCAUGGUUUAUUGAUAAGAAGAAAAAAAAAAACAAGAGUUAUAUGAUAUAUAUAUAUAUAUAUAUAUAUAGCUGGUUGCAAACAUUUCUGCAACAUCAUCGAUUCUAUAGACAUUGUGUUCAUGUUUUCAACAAACAAACUUUGUAGGUUCACUUUUUAUUGCACUAAAUUUCUAUGCUAUGAAACAUGGCUUUGUCACAAACCUUAUAACGGACACAUGUCACGAGGGAAUGACGAAAUGAAGGCCCGCAACAACAACAACAACAACAAACACAACAAAAAAAAAAAUAUUUUUUAUGAUCUAAGAAAGAAUUGUCAUGUAGAAAAUGACUACUGUAAUUGUCAUGUAGCAAAAAAAACAAAAAAAAAGUGCAUUAAUAAUGAUCUCAGUGAGAUUUACUCAUUCUCAUCCACGAGAAUAUAAUCUAAGCGUUAAGGAAAAAUUAAAUGUUUAAAAUGAAUUUUUUUUUUUUAAAUGUUUAAAAACCUACAUGUUUCAUUAUGUUAAAAAAUGACUGUAGUACGUAGGCGUGCACGUGUUCAUGAUUUCUAUCCUACUACUUUGAAUUGUUAGGUGCCUCCAAAAUGGCACCCUAUUCCCUAUAUAGUACACUACUUUUUACCUGGUCAGAACUGUAGUAGUGCACUAUAUAGGGAAUAGGGUGCCUUUUCGAACGCACACUUAUUAAGGUAACCACUGUCUGCUGUGGUAAGGGCUGGCUCUGUGUACCUGACUGGUAGUGCUACUGUAAUACCUGACUGGCAGUGUUACUGUAGUACCUGACUGGCAGUGUUACUGUAGUACCUGACUGACAGUGUUACUGUAAUACCUGACUGGCAGUGUUACUGUAGUACCUGACUGACAGUGUUACUGUAGUACCUGACUGGCAGUGUUACUGUAGUACCUGACUGACAGUGUUACUGUAGUACCUGACUGGCAGUGUUACUGUAGUACCUGACUGACAGUGUUACUGUAGUACCUGACUGGCAGUGUUACUGUAGUACCUGACUGGCAGUGUUACUGUAGUACCUGACUGGCAGUUUUACUGUAGUACCUGACUGGCAGUGUUACUGUAGUACCUGACUGGCAGUGUUACUGUAAUACCUGACUGGCAGUGUUACUGUAAUACCUGACUGGCAGUGUUACUGUAGUACCUGACUGACAGUGUUACUGUAAUACCUGACUGACAGUGUUACUGUAAUACCUGACUGACAGUGUUACUGUAGUACCUGACUGGCAGUGUUACUGUAGUACCUGACUGGCAGUGUUACUGUAAUACCUGACUGGCAGUGUUACUGUAGUACCUGACUGGCAGUGUUACUGUAGUACCUGACUGGCAGUGUUACUGUAGUACCUGACUGGCAGUGUUACUGUAGUACCUGACUAACAGUGUUACUGUAAUACCUGACUGACAGUGUUACUGUAGUACCUGACUGGCAGUGUUACUGUAGUACCUGACUGGCAGUGUUACUGUAGUACCUGACUGGCAGUGUUACUGUAGUAUCUGACUGGCAGUGUUACUGUAGUUAACUUAAUUACAGUAAGUUACAUUAUUUUACAUUGUGGGCUGUUUACUUAAUAUAAGUUAAUAUUGUUCUGUUUGUAUGGAGCUGUUUCGUUAAUGAUGGAUUUAUGUUUUUAUUUUUACAUACUUUUUUUAAUGUAGCAUUUGUAAAGAAAUAUGUUGUUAAAAAAAAAAAUCAAGAUUUUUGGCAUUAUUACUAUAAGGCACUGAUAUUUGAAUUAAAUCUUUGAAUGAGGGAAAAUGCACCUCCAUCUUUAGAUGUACACGAGUUCCAACUAUAGAAUUAGAAUGAGUUCUAAUGAUUCUAUGGUUCCAUCAAGCAGUGACUCUACUCUGUACGUUGUGAGUUCUGACUGACCCUGAGCCAGUACCAACUCAGUUUGACUAUCCUGUUCAUUCCUACCAGUAGAAGAAGCUCCCUCCCUCUGUUGUUGUCUGGUGUAAUGUGUCAUAUGUACAGUAGCUUGUUAAUAUGGCAAAACAAAACAUUCAUGUUUCUUUUUUUUUUCAAUGGAAAGUACUCACUGGUGAGAUUUUUAAAGUGGUUUUAAAAGCCAAUAAACUUCUUUUUUUUUAAAGAA
ensembl:lncRNA